GGGUGAACGCUGGCGGCGUGCCUAACACAUGCAAGUCGAGCGGUGCAGCUGGAGGCUUCGGCCGAAGGCUGCAUAGCGGCGGACGGGUGCGUAACGCGUAGGAACGUGCCCCCUGGAGGCGGAUAGCCGCGGGAAACUGCGGGUAAACCGCCAUAGACUCGGGAGAGUAAAGGCCGGAAGGCGCCAGGGGAGCGGCCUGCGUCCCAUCAGGUAGUUGGUAGGGUAACGGCCUACCAAGCCUACGACGGGUAGCCGGUCUGAGAGGAUGGCCGGCCACAAGGGCACUGAGACACGGGCCCUACUCCUACGGGAGGCAGCAGUGGGGGAUAUUGGACAAUGGGCGGAAGCCUGAUCCAGCGACGCCGCGUGGAGGACGAAGCCCUUCGGGGUGUAAACUCCUUUUGUCGGGGAAAAAGAGCUGAUGGUACCCGACGAAUAAGCCCCGGCUAACUACGUGCCAGCAGCCGCGGUAAUACGUAGGGGGCGAGCGUUACCCGGAAUCACUGGGCGUAAAGGGUGCGUAGGCGGCCUGGUAAGUUGAGCGUGAAAUUUUUGGGCUCAACCCAAAAGGAGCGUUCAAGACUGCCAGGCUUGAGUGCGGGAGAGGACGGCGGAAUUCCCGGUGUAGCGGUGAAAUGCGUAGAUAUCGGGAGGAACACCAGUGGCGAAGGCGGCCGUCUGGGACCCGUAAACUGAACGGCUGGAGGGCACGGAAAGGCGUUGGGGGAGGCAAACCAGGAAUUUAGAAUACCCUGGGUAGUUCCCACGGCUGUUAAAACGAAUUGAAUGGCUAAGGUUGUGGGGGGAGGAAGAAACUUCUUUCCCGGUGCCGGUAGUUAACCACAAAUAUAAGCCCUUCCCGGCCUUGGGGGAAGUAACGGCCCGCCAAAGGUUUGAAAACUUCAAAGGAAAUUGACGGGGGGCCCCGCCCCAAAGCCGGGUGGGAGCAUGGUGGUUUUAAUUCGAGAAGCCACGGCGAAGAGAACUUUAUCCAGGGGCUUUGACCAAUGCCCGGGAACCCUUCCGGAAAGGAAGGGGGGUGGCCUAACGGAUGAAGGGUUAGGGAGGCCCGGACCACAGGUGGGUGCAUGGUUGGUCGUCAGGCUCGGUGUCGGUGAGGAGGUUGGGUUAAGUCCCGCCAACGAGGGGCAACCCCCUGCCCCUUAGUUGCCCAGGCGGGGCAGAGCCCGGGCACUCUAAGGGGACUGCCCGCCGAUGAGGCGGAGGGAAGGUGGGGAUGACGUCAAAUCAUCAUGCCCCUUAUGCCCUGGGCUACACACGUGCUACAAUGGGUGCUACAGAGGGCAGCGAAGGCGCGAGCCGGAGCGAAUCCCAAAAAAAGCACCCCCCAGUUCGGAUUGCAGGCUGCAACUCGCCUGCAUGAAGUCGGAAUCGCUAGUAAUCGCGGAUCAGCAUGCCGCGGGGAAUACGUUCCCGGGCCUUGUACACACCGCCCGUCACACCAUGAGAGUCAGCAACACCUGAAGACACAGGGCAGCUGUGUUGAAGGUGGGGCUGAUGAUUGGGGU
rnacentral:rRNA from 1 species